AGUGAACGCUGGCGGUAGGCCUAACACAUGCAAGUCGAACGGCAGCACAGUAAGAGCUUGCUCUUACGGGUGGCGAGUGGCGGACGGGUGAGGAAUACAUCGGAAUCUACUUUUUCGUGGGGGAUAACGUAGGGAAACUUACGCUAAUACCGCAUACGACCUACGGGUGAAAGCAGGGGAUCUUCGGACCUUGCGCGAUUGAAUGAGCCGAUGUCGGAUUAGCUAGUUGGCGGGGUAAAGGCCCACCAAGGCGACGAUCUGUAGCUGGUCUGAGAGGAUGAUCAGCCACACUGGAACUGAGACACGGUCCAGACUCCUACGGGAGGCAGCAGUGGGGAAUAUUGGACAAUGGGCGCAAGCCUGAUCCAGCCAUACCGCGUGGGUGAAGAAGGCCUUCGGGUUGUAAAGCCCUUUUGUUGGGAAAGAAAAGCAGCAGGUUAAUACCCCGCUGUUCCGACGGUACCCAAAGAAUAAGCACCGGCUAACUUCGUG
rnacentral:rRNA from 1 species